rnacentral:rRNA from 1 species
GUGAGGGAUGACGGCCUUCGGGUUGUAAACCUCUUUUAGUAGGGAAGAAGCGAAAGUGACGGUACCUGCAGAAAAAGCACCGGCUAACUACGUGCCAGCAGCCGCGGUAAUACGUAGGGUGCAAGCGUUGUCCGGAAUUAUUGGGCGUAAAGAGCUCGUAGGCGGUUUGUCGCGUCUGCUGUGAAAUCCCGAGGCUCAACCUCGGGCUUGCAGUGGGUACGGGCAGACUAGAGUGCGGUAGGGGAGAUUGGAAUUCCUGGUGUAGCGGUGGAAUGCGCAGAUAUCAGGAGGAACACCGAUGGCGAAGGCAGAUCUCUGGGCCGUAACUGACGCUGAGGAGCGAAAGCAUGGGGAGCGAACAGGAUUAGAUACCCUGGUAGUCCAUGCCGUAAACGUUGGGCGCUAGAUGUAGGGACCUUUCCACGGUUUCUGUGUCGUAGCUAACGCAUUAAGCGCCCCGCCUGGGGAGUACGGCCGCAAGGCUAAAACUCAAAGGAAUUGACGGGGGCCCGCACAAGCGGCGGAGCAUGCGGAUUAAUUCGAUGCAACGCGAAGAACCUUACCAAGGCUUGACAUACACCGGAAACGGCCAGAGAUGGUCGCCCCCUUGUGGUCGGUGUACAGGUGGUGCAUGGUUGUCGUCAGCUCGUGUCGUGAGAUGUUGGGUUAAGUCCCGCAACGAGCGCAACCCUCGUUCUAUGUUGCCAGCGGGUUAUGCC